GGAAAAAAAGGCGAUUCCCACCAACCCUGCACUCAGGGAACCCAUGUGAGUUACCUGGUGGAGACCGGUAUGGAAUGCACAAUAUGGUCUGAGGCUGGCCCAAAGUAGGCUCAGCCCUAGACCGCCCAUAUACAGAGUGAAGUCCCUCCAAUUGCUGUGUCAGAUCCUGGAAGCCUGCCUGGUCUGGAGGUCACUUUCAGCAGCGGAGAUGGUUUCCGAUUGCUAUCAUUGGGUACAUCCCACUUCUACUUAAAAAUAGCAACGAUUCUGAGUAGGUCAGAAAAAUCAAUGGAUCCACAGAAGCCUCGGACAAAGCACAAAAGCACCAAAGUUUCGGGAAAGAAGAUAGAAAGCCAUUCUCCCUAUCCAACUAAACCACAAGGCCAGGGCUCCGAAGAAAGAAACGUGAGGAGGGGCUUCACGCGUGAACGGAAUGCAAACCGGUAUGCUCUAACAUGUAAUAAGAUAUUGUAAGGGUCCACGGUCUGCCGAAGAAUGAUACCCUGACUCAAAUAGUAUGUAAACACAAAGAGUGUUUUAUUCUACAAAAGUCCAGCAUGCUGGGGUCUCUCCAUUACCAAGACAGACAACCAAGUGAGCUUGCAGGCCUGAUUUAAAGCACACUGGGGAAUUCCAGGAUGCUUUAGAGCCUAGAAGGGAGAGGAUCAAAAUAUCUAUCGCACAGGCCUGGAACCGGAAAAUGGAGCCGAAAGAAAAGAAAGCGAGCUGGCAGCCGCCGUCCGUGAGGAGGAACAUGACCAUUGCUCUAUGUCAUGGUUCCAGAGCCCGUGGUCAUCAGAGUCACUUGGAGAGAGUUCUAAAGCAGAGGUUUCCAUGCAACACCCAGGAACCCAGAAAUUCCUUACAGAAAGAACUUACUAUUCAAA